GCCAGCAUGGUGUAGUGGUUUGAAUGUUAGACUACAGCUCUGGUGGUCAGGGUUUGAUUUCCCGCUCAAGCA
rnacentral:tRNA from 1 species